rnacentral:rRNA from 1 species
AACGUAGGAGACGAACGUUAUCCGGAGUUACUGGGCGUAAAGGGCGUGUAGGCGGUUUGUUAAGUCUGGCGUGAAAGCUCUCGGCUAAACCGGGAGAGGUCGUUGGAUACUGGCGAACUAGAGGAUGGUAGAGGCGUGUGGAAUUCCGGGUGUAGUGGUGAAAUGCGUAGAGAUCCGGAGGAACACCAGUGGCGAAGGCGACUCGCUGGGCCGUACCUGACGCUAAGACGCGACAGCAUGGGGAGCGAACGGG